CUGGCUCCUCUAGGUCUUUCAGCAGCCUUCCCUUCAGAAUUUUUCUUUUGCCAAACAUGACAUACCAAUCUUGUCCUAUUUUGACUCAUCUUCUUCUUGUUAUUCACUCUACUCUUCAUACUCUUCUUCAGUUAUUUUCACUUGUUCACCUUUCACACCUGACCUAGUUCUCUUGGUCAGAGAAGGUUCAACAGAUAUUGACUUGGAGGGCUUCUUUGCAGAAGACCUGAUUCCCUUUGAUUUGGCAGUAGGAACUUCCACAGUCGUACUCCUCUCUUGAUUGACAUGUUCAAUCUCUUCUUCCUCUUCUUCAAUUGCAGCCUCAGAACUUUCAACCAUUUUUUCUUUCCCAUUUUCUUUCUUCCUUUUCUUCCUCUCUUCUAGAGCCUUUUGCAGUUCUGCUUCACUUUCCAUAACCCUACUUCUGGUGGCUCUAACCCUAGGAGCAGACAUAGGUGAUGACACUUUUCUCUUUUAGUUGGUAUUGACACAACAUGGGUCCUUUGUGAGGAAGCCUUAUGUUUCUUGGGAGCAUAACUAGCAUCAACUUUCUUCAGCAUAUAUGCCAAAGUCUCCUCUAUAGAUGAACCAGGUUCAUCUGGUUGUUCACUCAAGUUCACCAGUCCCUCAGCUGCUUCACCUGACCCAAUUCCCCCUUACUUCAAGCCUCCUUCUUCUUCACUGCCACAAAUAGCUAAAACCUUCCCC
rnacentral:lncRNA from 1 species